GUCAGGUACGGUUUAGCGAAUAUCGGCGAAUAGCCAGGAACGCCCGUUAGCGGAUUGUAAAUCCGUCGGCGGAAGCCUACACAGGUUCGAAUCCUGUACCUGCCACCA
rnacentral:tRNA from 1 species